rnacentral:rRNA from 1 species
UACGAGGGGGGCGAGCGUUGUUCGGAAUUAUUGGGCGUAAAGGGUGCGUAGGCGGUUUGGUAAGUCUUAUGUGAAAUCUAUGGGCUCAACUCAUAGACUGCAUGAGAAACUGCCGGGCUUGAGUAUGGGAGAGGUGAGUGGAAUUCCUGGUGUAGCGGUGAAAUGCGUAGAUAUCAGGAGGAACACCUGUGGCGAAAGCGGCUCUCUAGUACGGUACUGACGCUGAGACGCGAAAGCGUGGGGAGCGAACAGG